rnacentral:rRNA from 1 species
UACAGAGACUGCAAGCGUUAUUCGGAUUCACUGGGCGUAAAGGGUGCGCAGGCGGCCGUGUGUGUAAGGUGUGAAAUCCCGGGGCUCAACCCCGGAACUGCGCCUUAAACUACAUGGCUAGAGUAUUGGAGAGGGUAGUGGAAUUCACGGUGUAGCAGUGAAAUGCGUAGAUAUCGUGAGGAACACCAGAGGCGAAGGCGACUACCUGGACAAUUACUGACGCUCAGGCACGAAAGCGUGGGGAGCAAAAGGGAUUAGAUACCCCUGUAGUCCACGCCCUAAACGGUGCAUACUAGGUCUUGGCGGAUUCGACCCCACCAGGGCCCAAGCUAACGCGUUAAGUAUGCCGCCUGAGGACUACGGCCGCAAGGCUA